GGUGGUGCAUGGCCGUUCUUAGUUGGUGGAGCGAUUUGUCUGGUUAAUUCCGAUAACGAACGAGACUCUAGCCUAUUAAAUAGACGCGAUAUUUUCAAGUAUUACGCUCUUCUUAGAGGGACAAGCAGCUUCUAGCUGCACGAGAUUGUGCAAUAACAGGUCUGUGAUGCCCUUAGAUGUCCGGGGCUGCACGCGCGCUACACUGUGGAUAACAGUGUGCGUCUCAACCAUGUCUGAAAAGACUUGGUAAACACGAAUUAUUUCCGUGCUUGGGAUAGGGGAUUGAAAUUAUUUCCCUUGAACGAGGAAUUUCUAGUAAGUGCGAGUCAUAAGCUCGCGCUGAUUACGUCCCUGCCCUUUGUA
rnacentral:rRNA from 1 species